GGAGCGGUAGUUCAGUUGGUUAGAAUGCCGGCCUGUCACGCCGGAGAUCGCGGGUUCGAGUCCCGUCCGCUCCGCCA
rnacentral:tRNA from 1 species